UACAGAGGUCUCGAGCGUUGUUCGGAUUCAUUGGGCGUAAAGGGCGCGUAGGCGGCGGGGUAAGUCGGGUGUGAAAUCUCGGAGCUUAACUCCGAAACUGCAUUCGAUACUGCCGUGCUUGAGGACUGGAGAGGAGACUGGAAUUUACGGUGUAGCGGUGAAAUGCGUAGAUAUCGUAAGGAAGACCAGUGGCGAAGGCGGGUCUCUGGGCCUUACCUGACGCUGAGGAGCGAAAGCGUGGGGAGCGAACAGG
rnacentral:rRNA from 1 species